CUUGCUUUUCCGCUGACGAGUGGCGCACGGGUGCGUAACGCGUAUACAACCUACCUUUUACAGGGGGAUAGCCUUUGGAAACGAAGAAUAAUACCCCAUAGCAAGUGAUUUUCGCAUGGAAGACACUUUAAAGAUUCGUCGGUAAAAGAUGGGUAUGCGUCCUAUUAGCUAGAUGGUGUGGUAACGGCACACCAUGGCAACGAUAGGUAGGGGCCCUGAGAGGGGGAUCCCCCACACUGGUACUGAGACACGGACCAGACUCCUACGGGAGGCAGCAGUGAGGAAUAUUGGACAAUGGGCGAGAGCCUGAUCCAGCCAUGCCGCGUGCAGGAAGACUGCCCUAUGGGUUGUAAACUGCUUUUAUACGGGAAGAAACCCGUCCACGUGUGGGCGGCUGACGGUACCGUAAGAAUAAGGAUCGGCUAACUCCGUGCCAGCAGCCGCGGUAAUACGGAGGAUCCGAGCGUUAUCCGGAAUCAUUGGGUUUAAAGGGUCCGUAGGUGGACGAUUAAGUCAGAGGUGAAAUCCUGCAGCUCAACUGUAGAAUUGCCUUUGAUACUGGUCGUCUUGAAUUAUUGUGAAGUGGUUAGAAUAUGUAGU
rnacentral:rRNA from 1 species